rnacentral:tRNA from 1 species
GAGGGUAUAGCUCAGUGGUAGAGCACGUGCUUAGCAUGUAUGAGGUCCUGGGUUUAAUCCCCAGUACCUCUA